rnacentral:lncRNA from 1 species
UAGAAAUCUCCUUCCACAGUCUCAUGAUUAAAUGUUGGUCAUAUCCAUGGCUUAUUGCUUGUUCUUCAAUCCAAUUCACUUCUUCAUUUACGUUUUAUGUCAUUGUGCAGGGGGGUGAGGGCUCUUUGGAGUAGAGCUCUAAAUGUGGCAUGUUUAAAGUGCCAGGUUUCGUUCGGAUCGGCUUUAAUAAAGGUAAAGAAGAAAAAGAAUCUUAUAAAAAAAGUUUUGUUAAGAUUUAAUCUUGUAAAACAUAUGUUAAUAGUUACCAAUCGUAGAAUUUUAAUGCGAUGUUCUAUAGAGUUGUUUUGCAAUUUCGGAAGCU